UACGUAGGGGGCUAGCGUUGUCCGGAUUUAUUGGGCGUAAAGAGCGUGUAGGCGGCCAGGUAGGUCUGCUGUGAAAACUCGAGGCUCAACCUCGAGACGUCGGCGGAAACCAUCUGGCUAGAGUCCGGAAGAGGAGGGUGGAAUUCAUGGUGUAGCAGUGAAAUGCGUAGAUAUCAUUUGGAACGCCAAUGGUGAAAACAGGUAGCUGGGGAUGUGCUGACGCUGAGACACGAAAGCCAGGGGAGCAAACGGG
rnacentral:rRNA from 1 species